CUUCCGGCCGGAGUCAGUGGCGGGGUUCUCGCCGGUCCUGCGGGUCGCUGCUUGGCUGUGGGUUAGCAGCACCCUGAGCGGAGCGGAAGAGCUGCCCGCCGCCGCGUAACCCCGAGGCCGAGACUCCUGGCCUGGCCUCCUUGGGCCCACGACGCCUGCCCCGCGGAGCGGACCCAUGGGCCUGAGGUUUGUGUGCGGGGCCUCAGGCGAGCGCUGGCGCAGCCUGUCCCCCAUCGUCUGCGCCCUGCGGGCCUGGCCCUCCCCGUGGAAGGACCGCGGGCUUCGGGGCCCCACGCUGGGGGGCUGACUCCUGCCACACACACAGCGGUGGCCGCGGGCCUGGGGCGGCAGCACAGCCAUUCUGCUCGGGCUGCGUGAGCUGACCCCGCUCUCUGUGCACCUACUUUUGCUGCGUUUGGUGCUGAGCCUGAAGUCCCAGGACAGGCGGCUGAGGGGGAAAGAUGGUGUGAAUUGGGUGGGCAGAGACAACUGAAAGCCACAGGACCCGGUUGGCACCUUUUUGGCCGCCUGCGCCUUUGCCUGCAGCCCCGCUCCCUGGGUCACCCGAAGGAGGAGCUGGCGCUCUUUCCGGGCGCAGAAGCACCCGACCCACGCUGGAGGAAACGGUCCCUCUGGGCAGGAGAAGCUUUGGGCCUGGCUGGAGCACACUCACGGAACCACGCCAACGCCUGGCCUGUAGCCAGCUCCCACCUCCCCUCCCACCUUCUAAAAUGCUUGCGGAUCUCACGUGGCCGACCCUAACCAGAUACACAUGGGGAAAGGAAUCAGGUGGCACACAUACCGCCUUUACUCCAUAGAGAACUUCCAAUUGUGGGUAAGAACAAAGCCCCACCUCUUCCUAAUAGAUGCAGUUUUCCACCUGCAGCCAAAAAGACAACCUGUUAUUAGCUUUUUUCCCAGAGGACAGGCAUCUCUAUGAAACUGCCAUUGCAAAAUUUGCCGACAGUGAGAUAACCAGCUCCAUUUUGCUUCUAACCUCCAUGCCCUCCUUGUUUACUGCUGCACGCAGGUUGAACUGUGGGAGGAACUUAGUUUAAAACAAAGAUGAUAACAGCCCUUUCCCAAAGGAAACCUUUCCUGGGGAUUAGCCUGCUUUUGUGGGACCAACAGAUUAGCCACAAGAUUAGAAACUACGGUUGAAGAGUCACGCAGCGGGAGGCUACAGGAUUCUGACCCUCCCCAAACUGCUCCUGGCGAUAACAUCACCAUCGUAAAGCCUAAGAUCAGCACUUGGUGGGUCACCUGGCACCACCCAGGCUCAUCUGAUGUUGUGGCACCCAGGAACUGACUCAGUGCGAAAACAGCUUCGACUCCCUGUGAUUUCAUCUCUGACCUGACCAAUGGGUACUUCUGACUCACUGGCUGCCCCCCACCCACCAGCUUAUCUUUAAAAACUCCAAACCCCAGAUGCUCAGGGAGACCGAGUAAUAAUAAAACUCCAGUCUCCCACACAGCUAGCUCUGCGUGAAUUACCUUUUCUCUGUUGCAAAUGCCCUUUCUUGAUAAAUUGGCUGUCUAGGUAACAGGGAAGGUGAACCCACUGGGCAGUUACACUUUUAUCCACCCUUCCAGCUGGAUCACGCGCCCUCUUCAAUGACAUGACACGCAGCUAGAGUGUAUGAGCUUGCUGCCGGCACCUUCCGUCCUGGAUCGCAUAGCAAGGCCUCAAUGGACAGCCAGGUGCCUGGUCCGGUCCCACUUUUUUUUCUGUCCUGUUCUCGUUUCCUCUUUGCUUGGCCAAAGAGGGUUGGGCCAGGGUCCUGAGUGCAAAGGCUUGGCUUGGUGAAUUAAAGUGGCAGUAGCCGUGUGGCAGAGAAAAUUUGUAGAUGGGUGAAAUCCUGGGCCUACACAGUGACAAAGUGUAUAUAGACAGCCAGCCUAGUUGGUGGAUGUGACAACCCCAGACUCUUCUAGAUUUGUGGAUCCGUGCACCUGCCAGACCUGUCUCUGAGCCAUCUGGGGAGGCUGGGUAAGAUUUCCCCCGUCAGGGCCUGAGCCUCAUCUCCAAGCUGCUGGCUUCAGCCCAGCUGCCACCAGCGCUGUCUCUGUCUUGCGCUUUCCAGAGAGAGACUGACUCAUUUUGAGCUCCAGGCCUACCAGGCAGCCCAACCGCGGCAGUAACUGCCUCUCACACUGAGGAUGGCUCAUGCUCUGGUCCAGCCAUGGCUUGAACACCUCCCAACAAGAACAAAGCCAGACUCAUUCUCCCUAGCAUCUUCUUCCUUGCUCAAAGAUCCCACACCCCGUUAGAAGCUGGAACUGGGUCCUUGUCACCUUCCUCACCUCCCCAGUCGUAGUCUGGUUAAUCCUUACAUCUCACCACGGUCACCGUGGCUAGAUGUGACCUCCGCGAUGCUUCAGGCACGUACCAGGGCAGCCUGGGCAGGGCUGGUCACUGUGAUCUCAUGAGGUGUGAACUUGACCCCGGCCUUCUUUCCUGGGAUGCCGGCUAAGGACACAAGUUCAGUGUUUGCCCUGGCUUGUAGCCCAGCGGGGGCUCCGUCAUCCCCUGGGGAAUGCCUCGGCCUGCAAGACCGCAUACCGCAUUGGAACAGGGAAACCACCUACUUCAGCACCUCCCUCAGCAAGGUGGCAGGUCCCAACAAGCCUUGCACCACGAGGAAGUGGCAGUGGCAUUCGGGAUAUGGCUCCCUGGCCAGCUUGUGAAGUUCAAGGGGCUCGUUACUUCUUACAGCUCACAGUCCCUCCCGGGUCCAGCACACCUGAGGGCUGACCUCCCUCUUGAUUAGUGCAGGGGAAAAGCACUUUAAAAAGCUGUGUCAUGCGUAACUUGCACAUCUUCUGAUUCUGACCUGAAACUGCAUCCCAGGUCGGCACAGACGCAACCCAGUCUCCUCCCACCUCCGAGAGUGCAGUGUCCUGAAUGGAGAACCCCAGCACCCAGAAGCAUCCACUGAAGGACUAAAUUCUACACAUGAAGGCAAACGUCCGUGGUUGACAGAAAUUACACUGGCCAGAAUCCCCAGUCCCCAUGAGGCUUGUCCAGACGCAGUGAACCAGUCGCAGCUGAUAACACACAGACCAUUCCCGAUCCCAGAGAUGUUGUGACAUCAUAUGGAAUUUACGGCAUAA
rnacentral:lncRNA from 10 species